GUGUCAGCCGCCGCGGUAAUACGGAGGGGGCAAGCGUUGUUCGGAAUUAUUGGGCGUAAAGAGUAUGUAGGCGGCUGGGUAAGUCAGGCGUGCAAGCCCACGGCUCAACCGUGGAAUUGCGUCUGAAACUAUUCGGCUUGAGUGCAGGAGAGGAAAGCGGAAUUCCCAGUGUAGCGGUGAAAUGCAUUGAUAUUGGGAAGAACACCGGUGGCGAAGGCGGCUUUCUGGUCUGCUACUGACGCUGAGAUACGAAAGCCAGGGGAGCAAAGGGGAUUAGAUACCCCCGUAGUCCUGGCCGUAAACGAUGGGCACUAGGUGCGGGAGGUAUCGAUCCCUUCCGUGUCGCAGCUAACGCAUUAAGUGCCCCGCCUGGGGAGUACGGUCGCAAGGCUGAA
rnacentral:rRNA from 1 species